GGCUUAGACACCAAAAAGAUUCAAUUUGGGGUAGUAGAGAGAAGGGGGAACAAGGACCUCACACAAGAACUGACCUAAACGCCGAGGAGACAGUACUGCCAGUGGAUGACUCUGAAUGAUGUACCAGAAAGACAUUUUAAAUGACCUACAGUAAACUCGCGAAGGACUGGGCAUCCCAGACAUAUUCUCCAACGCAGAACAUUUCCAGGAAUGAGUGUUUCUGACACCCGUUAUUAGAACCAUGUACAAAUAGUUAUCUGAUAGCUGGGCAAGCAGAGAAGCUGUGUGAGGACUGACUGCACUCAGUACCGUGAGUCCCGAGAGCUGGACCGUGUUGUGGACAUGCUCCAUCAUCGUGAUUGACAACUGCGUACGCUUGGGUGAACCUGGCUGGAGCACUCGCAAAUAAGGCGCAAAGAUCUGCAGCACAAGUUCUUCAGAGCUUGUCUGAGAAGAUCCUCAUCUGGAAGGCAAUCAGUUUGCCUGCUUUCUUCGACUGUUUCCUUCUAGCUAACUUGCCACCAAAAUGAAGUUAGACCUACAAAGGAGACAUUAAAUCAGAAAUGUCUCUACACUGAUAGCAAAUGUCUGCAAUAAGGCUAAUGAGCCACAAGACCUGAUUUUUCACCUAUCCUGGUGUUAUGCUGAUGUCAUUUAAUUGAUUUCAAUGGAUUACUCUGGUCAACGUGGUGUCAGGCUCAGAGCAUCUCUGUCUGUUUGCGAAGAGUUGCUACUGCUAUCUAAGCCCUGGGAUAAGGAGCCGAUCUCAGACCCUGUCUGUGCUGAACUGCUAAGAAGAGGAAGAGAAGAGGCAGAAGCCUCCGGCAUUUAUAGAUUGAAAAUCUGCUCACUGCUCUUGUGGCUGGUGGAUGCGGAGCAGAAGGCACCGAGCUGUCCGCUGGAAGGAAGGCGCUGACCUCUGGGUACGGCGUUCCUGUGCUCAGCACCUGCUGGCAGGACUGGUGACCUACACAUGAAAGCCUGACUGAUGGUGGCUGCCAAAUAAACUGGAGAAGAAAUGAAGAAAUGUUUCAUGCUGAGGAUAUAAGACGGGGAGGAGAGUGAAUGAAGCUAGAUUGUGGCCUAGUGUAAAAAUCCUCCUCUUUGUCACUUCUUCUGCUUAUAAAGGCAAUAGUGUUUUCUGCAGGAUCUCAAAUGAAAACUCGGAGAUGAAAAGUCAGAAGGGCAUUUAAGUGACCUUCUGAGCUUGGAUGCUACUGCCGUCUCCUGAAGAAAAAACAGAUGCUUAGUCAGAAUCAUAAAAUUAUAAGACUAAUGAUACUCUCCUUUAACCUGGGCGCUUCCACUGGAAGAGGAGCAGGACACUCGACAUCUUCCUGUCUGUCCCUGGAAACUCUGCGGAGUUGGAGGCAGUAUGGUGGAAACCUUGGUUAGACUCUUGUAUGAGUGGGAAUGUCUGUGAGUUGGAAAAAUAUUCAGAAGACCUCUGGAAGCUGCAUAUUUGGAUUUAAACAUGACCCUGCUGUGUUUAGUGUCAGGGCUGAAAAGUGACCCUGGUAUGAACAGAAAGUGAAGCAGAAAACUACAGUUUGACUUCUCCAACUCGGCAAUGGGUGAAACCAACCAAGACUCUCAAUGGAAAAGAGCUUAAUGGAGAGGAACAUAGGAGACUUAGUAGGAAGUAUGCACCAGAGUGCUCUGCUCCUUCACCACAGACUCUUAGAAGAUUGUUUGCUUCUCUCAUCCCUAAAAAUAAAGGUGGUGAUCUUUUAUCUCGCUUCUUAGCUAACCUGUCACGAAAGGCCACCUCAACAUUUGAGAAGUACUGAGCUUAUUUUAAAAGCAUGAAGUCUUGCAAAGGAUUACAUUGGAAGAAGGGCAACUGGGCUGGAGGGCAGGUGGGCUCUGAGGAGCGUUAACAGCUGGAAGGAGAAGACAGGGAAGGAGAAGGCUCCCCCACCUGCUAAAGGGCUGGGUCCCGAGGACUGGUCCUGUGCAAAUGAUCAGAGCUCCCGAGUACUGGCAUUUACACUGUGCUUCAAGUGAGACCAAAGGGUGGAAAUCUGGCUAUCUGAGUUAUUUUUGGAUUUUUAUUAUGUUCAGGAAUUAAUUUGGAUGACAACAAUGGUGUUUUUAGUGCAACAAGUAGAAUUAAAAAAAGCAGUCUGGCAGAAGAUCUGAGAAGCAGAAGAUGAAAAUAAAUAAAAUGGAGCAGCAAAGAAUGCAGAAAGAAAGAGAAAGUGUUCAAAGGCAUAUAAAUGUGAUGAGGGCUGGAGCCAAAUUCGUGUACAAACAACAAAGGAAGGAAGAGCUUAGUGAGUCCCCCCAAAAUCCUGCUCAUGAAGAGAAGCGGGUCGGUGUUUCCAGAACAGAAGUUAAACACUGAGGUCUCAGUUUGGGAGAAUUUCUCUACAGGGCAGAGCUAAGACAGUUGUCUAACUGCUGCAGAAGCUGAAGUGAUUUUGUAUGUUCCUGUGCUUUCCUGAAUCUGAAUCCUGAAGGCUGUUCACUCUGAAGAACUGCGUAGCAAUCUCAUUCGGCAGUAUCGGUGAUGGGAGGUAGGAGGUUGCAGGCUGGAGCUCAGCACUGGAGUGUGCUGCUGCUGCUUGCAUUGAAAUUCCUUGUGCUGGGCCAACCUGCGCACCGUCCCGAGCCACCUCCUCUCCCUCUGCGUGGCAGAAAUGCUAUCGCCUGUCUUGCAAAUAACGGAGAUCCUCACAAGAAGAAGAGGUGCUUCAGGUGCAAAGUGUACCUACACACAUUUAAAAUACUACAAUUAUAAUAGAUUUGUCCAGGACCUGAGGUCAGGUUUCAGUUUUUCUUGCCAGGUCCUGGUGACUUCAUAAUAGUGAGCUUUUUUGUAUUUGAAUUGCUCCAUCAGUGGUGUCAAUAAUUAAUCAAUAAUAACUAGUAAUAAACUAUCAUACUAAUAGUGAUGCUGUCAGUGUCAAUGACAUCAGUAAGUACAAAAUCUGCUCCUCAAAGGCUGGUUGCACAGAUAAAGGGAGCGCAGGUUUUAUAAGUCCGUGUUCUAAAAUAAGGUUAUUCUGUUUUACUGGUUUAGGAUUUUUAAUUUGCAAAUUUGGUUUCCAAAUAUUUUAAAUGUCACCUUUAACUAUUAUCAGAUUCAUCUGUAGAAAUUUUUGCUGGUACACAUAGGAUGGUUUUCAUUUUCGAAGCUGCAGAGCAUUUCUGGCUCCUGCUGAAGCCGGUUGGAAUUGUGGGCAUGCAGGAACUUUAGGAAUGAAUUGUUAGUUGUUGUUAUUAAUUUAUUUGGGAAACACAAACAGUAUGACUCACUAUUAACUCAUGUCUUGAAAAAUGCUGUGCUCUUUCUUGACAACAAGCUUAGUACUGGAAAGUGUGGCCUUCCAAUGUUGUAGAAUUUGAGCAAUAGUAUUGUAAAUGGGGACUUAUUUCACUAAUUUGCAAAGAUGUGAACAAUUGGUAGUAUGCAACAGAGACUAAACCACAAAAGUUCAAAAUCAUCUACUUUGUGACAAAACCUCCAGAAUAUGUCUGGGUGACAUAGGACAUGCAUAAAUAUGAUGUCACCAGCUUAAAAGCAUGUCUUCCUGAGGUUUUUGCAUUGGUUCCUGACCUGGCGUUUUAAUUUGAUGUCAACUAUUUGAUCGUUAUAUCCUGUUUCCUUCAAAAUCUUUGGCUAAUUUACGUUCUUUUGCUGUAAUUUCCAUUUUCAAAUUUUUGAUAAGUGUCAGCCAAUGCCUUUUCAGACAUUUCCUCUGUAUAUAAUCCAGAGAGCUUCUUAAUCAUAAGUCAUAUGUGCAGCAAUAUGGUUUUAUGAUUAUUCAUGUCUUUCUAAAAGCCAAAGCCAAAUCUUAAUUUGAGAGCACAAUAGUUGAGUCUUCGAAAAAAGAGAAAGAAUAGUAAGUCAUUUUGGACUCAACAGUUUCCUUAGCAGCCUUUCAUAAUAAGGGGCUCUGUAAAAUACUUCUCACUCUCCGAGUCUGUCACCUGCGUGUUGUUGGAUGUGCCCUUUUGCUCUUGUGACAGUCUUUGCUUAAGCAAGCUCUGUACUGGAAUCACAGGGGACUGUUAUAAAAAGCUAGCGAUCUGCAUAGGUGAUCUUCUUGACUCCUCUUUGAUGCCUUUCCCUUUCGGAAAGGCAGCUCUUCCUUUGGGAGAGACCUGCAUGUGACAGAGUCCCCACAGUUUAUGGUGUCUUCUUUGCAGGUGGCAACGUUCCCAGUACCUAUCAGCGCUGAGUGCCGUAAGCGCCAAAUUUCGCAUCUAUCUCCUUAGCGAGAAUUAUAAACAGGAAUCAAAACCAGUUGCGUGAACGUGUUCUGUAAGUAAGCUGAAAAGAAAUGCCUCCUGCCUGUAUGUACUGUAACUCCUGUGUCUAGGUGCUUGCAUUGAUACGUUCUGUUUGCUGGUUAUAAAUCUGAAUUGCUGUGUCUGAAGAUGUUUACAACUAGAUCAUCCAGUAUACAACUAUUUAGAAAGAGAGAGAGAGAGAGAUCAUCUAGCACAGGAAAUACUUUCUUGGAAUGAAGAAAAAAACUGGAGAAAUGGACUGAAAAGGCAUUACAUUUUGCACUGUUAAAUGUUCUAAAAAUAAACUGGAAACAUAAAAGUAUCAGAUACAUACUUUUUUUUCUUUUCCUCUCUUCUCCUUCUCCUCAGACAUGUGUACUCAUAAAAUUUAAUGGAGUGGAAUUGCCUGAAAGAAGCGGACCAUUUUUAAUAUACCUUUCUGUGGCUCCUUGGUACAUAUGUGAACAAUUUUAACAAAAAAAAAAUGUUGAUUCGCAGUGAUUCUUAGACGUCUUGUGGUUGAUCAUCUGUACAGGACAGAUGGAUUCGGUCACUGUAAGCCAAAUAAAUAAAUUAGCACUAUCUUUGAAAUGUAUAGCCGCACUUGGCAUUUGCAGUUACCGUACACCCUCCCCUCAGUUCAGAUGCCUUCACCUAUACUGCUGAACUGGCCUAACUUUAUAUUCUGUUUGGCCUUGAGUUAGAACAGAGGACCACCUGCAUGAAAGAGAUG